UUUGACCAUUACUUCCAGCGUUGUGAUACACUUUCAAAGAGUCGGAUUGUUUGGGAAUGCAGUCCAAAAUGGGUGGUAAAUUUCAUCUAAAGCUAAAUAUUGGCGAGAGACCGAUAGCGAACAAGUACCGUGAGGGAAAGAUGAAAAGAACUUUGAAAAGAGAGUUAAACAGUACGUGAAAUUGUCAAAAGGGAAGCGUUUGACACCAGUGUUGUUUUC
rnacentral:rRNA from 1 species